rnacentral:rRNA from 1 species
CCUACGGGUGACAGCAGUGAGGAAUAUUGGUCAAUGGCCGGAAGGCUGAACCAGCCAAGCCGCGUGAAGGACGAAGGUGCCAAGCAUUGUAAACUUCUUUUGUCAAGGGACAAAAUCAGGCUCGAGAGCCUGACCGAGGGUACUUGAAGAACAAGCAUCGGCUAACUCCGUGCCAGCAGCCGCGGUAAUCCGGAGGAUCCGAGCGUUAUCCGGAUUUAUUGGGUUUAAAGGGUGCGUAGGCGGGCUGUUAAGUCAGCGGUAAAAGCCCGGGGCUCAACCCCGGCGAGCCGUUGAAACUGGCUGGCUUGAGAGGGCGAGAGGUAGGCGGAAUGCGCAGUGUAGCGGUGAAAUGCUUAGAUAUUGCGCAGAACUCCGAUUGCGAAGGCAGCAUACCGGCGGCGAUCUGACGCUGAGGCACGAAAGCGUGGGUAUCGAACAGGAUUAGAUACCCGUGUAGUC